rnacentral:rRNA from 1 species
CAGUCGCCACGGUAAUACGUAGGUCCCGAGCGUUGUCCGGAUUUAUAGGGCGUAAAGCGAGCGCAGGCGGUUAGAUAAGUCUGAAGUUAAAGGCUGUGGCUUAACCAUAGUACGCUUUGGAAACUGUUUAACUUGAGUGCAAGAGGGGAGAGUGGAAUUCCAUGUGUAGCGGUGAAAUGCGUAGAUAUAUGGAGGAACACCGGUGGCGAAAGCGGCUCUCUGGCUUGUAACUGACGCUGAGGCUCGAAAGCGUGGGGAGCAAACAGGAUUAGAUACCCCAGUAGUCCCUGUCUCUUAUACA